GGUUAAGGUUAGGGUUAGGUGUAGAGUUAGAUUUUAGGGUUGAUUAAGGGUUAAGGUUAGGGUUAGGUGUAGGGUUAGAUUUUAUGGUUGAUUAAGGGUUAAGGUUAGGGUUAGGUGUAGGGUUACAUUUUAUGGUUGAUUAAGGGUUAAGGUUAGGGUUAGGUGUAGGGUUAGAUUUUAUGGUUGAUUAAGGGUUAAGGUUAGGGUUAGGUGUAGGGUUUGAUUUUAUGGUUGAUUAAGGGGUAAGGUUAGGGUUAGGUGUAGGGUUAGAUUUUAUGGUUGAUUAAGGGUUAAGGUUAGGGUUAGGUGUAGGGUUAGAUUUUAUGGUUGAUUAAGGGUUAAGGUUAGGGUUAGGUGUAGGGUUAGAUUUUAUGGUUGAUUAAGGGUUAAGGUUAGGGUUAGGUGUAGGGUUAGAUUUUAGGGUUGAUUAAGGGUUAAGGUUAGGGUUAGGUGUAGGGUUUGAUUUUAUGGUUGAUUAAGGGUUAAGGUUAGGGUUAGGUGUAG